CACUAAUUUGGUUGUUCAAACUAUUAAGUUAUUCAUCUCAUAUAUUUUGUUGUAUAUAAAUUGGUCAGGGGUUUCAUUAAGUCAUCUUUAUAAUCUUGGUAGUUCACAUGUCUUGAUCUACAUGCUUGUGUAUGUAUGGCAGCGUAUGUCUUUGUUUGACUGUAUUAUUUGUUUGUUAAGUUGCUAUGAUAGCAUCUAAACCUUUAUAAUUUUAGUGGAACAUGUAGCAAAG
rnacentral:lncRNA from 1 species